UACGUAGGGUGCGAGCGUUAAUCGGAAUUACUGGGCGUAAAGGGUGCGUAGGCGGUUCGUUAAGUCUGUCGUGAAAUCCCCGGGCUCAACCUGGGAAUGGCGAUGGAUACUGGCGAGCUAGAGUGUGUCAGAGGAUGGUGGAAUUCCCGGUGUAGCGGUGAAAUGCGUAGAGAUCGGGAGGAACAUCAGUGGCGGAGGCGGCCAUCUGGGACAACACUGACGCUGAAGCACGAAAGCGUGGGGAGCAAACAGG
rnacentral:rRNA from 1 species